rnacentral:rRNA from 1 species
CGCUGUCACUCCUACGGGAGGCAGCAGUGGGGGAAUAUUGCACAAUGGGCGCAAGCCUGAUGCAGCCAUGCCGCGUGUAUGAAGAAGGCCUUCGGGUUGUAAAGUACUUUCAGCAGUGAGGAAGGCGGGUGUGUUAAUAGCACAUUCGUUUGACGUUAGCUGCAGAAGAAGCACCGGCUAACUCCGUGCCAGCAGCCGCGGUAAUACGGAGGGUGCGAGCGUUAAUCGGAAUUACUGGGCGUAAAGCGCAUGCAGGUGGUUUGUUAAGUCAGAUGUGAAAGCCCGGGGCUCAACCUCGGAAUUGCAUUUGAAACUGGCAGACUAGAGUACUGUAGAGGGGGUAGAAUUUCAGGUGUAGCGGUGAAAUGCGUAGAGAUCUGAAGGAAUACCGGUGGCGAAGGCGGCCCCCUGGACAGAUACUGACACUCAGAUGCGAAAGCGUGGGGAGCAAACAGGAUUAGAUACCCUGGUAG